rnacentral:lncRNA from 1 species
GUAAAAUAAUGAAUUAAUGGUUGUGUUAUUAUUUUUAUUUUUUUUAUUUUUAUUUUAUUUUCCCUUUUACAGAUUAACAUUUUAGAAGAUGAACUAGAAGAGAAAGAAAGAAUGAGACAAAGGAUGGCCUCAUUAAUGCCAUUUAACCAAUCUGCUGUUUAUACUCCAGAAGAAAAUGAAGAUAAACCGCAGGAGAUGGAUAUGAUUGACGAAGAAGAAAAAGAAGAAAUUGAUAAUUUAUUAAACUCCAUAAAUGAAAUUAAUGUUGAUGACAAAACACCAGAAAAAAAGAAAAUAUCUAUCGAUAUUGAGCUUAAAGACAACACAAUUGUAGAAGCUAAUGAAAUGAACAAAAAAGGCAACGCAAGAUUUAAACAACAGGUUUUAAGGAACGGUCCCUUAACAAGGUAAUAAAUAUGGACAUCAAAUUAUCCACCAAUAACUCCCCCUCGCCAUAAUUUUUUUUUUUUUUUUUAAUUAUAUUUUAACCGUAUUCAAAAAAUAUAAAUUAUAGCUCAAAUCUAUGAGGAAGAUAUUUGUUCGCAUAUAUGUAUGAAUAUUUUUAUUCAUAAUUUUUCGUUUUUUUUAUUUUUUUUACCAAAUUAUCAUUUUAUAUAUGUG